CAAAACUUACAAAUUUAUCUUACCUGCCAAAAGUUUUACAAAAAAAUAAAUAAAAUAAAUUUGUUUCUUAUUGGAGAGUGCAGUAGUCGUUCAGUAAUCGAGCGAACGAAAAUACACCAUAAUACUAAAUAUACUAAAUUUAAAGUUGACCAAUUAAACCGAUUCUUUUAUCGAUAAAUUUCAGUAGGAAUCUCGAAUCAUGGCGACAAACUUCAAAAGAUUAAACAAUGUACAUACUAUAUGCAUACUUUUUAGCUAUACGUCAUUGAGAAUCUGUACGUAUUAAGCUGAAAUUGUUUUACUUUUAAAUUUGAAACCGGUAACGAACUAAAUUUAUAUAACGAGAAAAAAACUGUUCAUGUUCAGAAAUUCAGCAAAGAUGACAACAAAAAUUACAGUUGAUAAACUAAAAGAUGUUGACGUAACGAAUUCCUGUCGCAUAUGCAAGAGCCGUGGAAAUGACGAUUUACAAAAUCGAGUUAAACUGCGUCCAUUAUUCAAUGGCCGCCGUUUAACUCGUAUUAUAGCCAACACAAUACACAUAGAGAUUAAGGAUUUGCCAGGACUGCCCCGUUUUGUUUGCGAGCAUUGUUUAAAAUUGUUGAAAACUUUUUCAGUUUUUCAAGUGGAUUUUCGGCGCUCCGAAGAAGAUUUUAAAAUGGCUCUCGAAGCUCGCAAACAUUCUCACAUGGAUGCCUUGAUUGAAUUUUCUAAUUCCAUUGAAAUGGAAAAGCAAUUAGAUAAUGACCAGAAAAAUGCUGCUCUCGUAACCAAUUUCCUAAAGAAAAGCCACAAGAAGACCAACAAACCAAAAUCAACACUCGAUAAUGAUUAGUGUAUUUUACAAUGAAUUUAAAUAGUUCAAUAUAUUUUAAGUUUAUAUGUGCAAAUUUAACAA